rnacentral:lncRNA from 1 species
GGGAGACAACGCUGAACGCCGUGGGCGGCUGAGGCCCUUCAUUGUGCGACCAACCCGAGCCUAAGGGGCUUGAAUUGCUCUUCUCAUUGCCACACUGCCCAGAAGAGGGAUCAUGGUGGUGGGAAGAAUGAGGC